CAGUGUUGUCCACCUGGUUUAAAUCUCUGUCUGUUUGUCUCCUCUCUUCUCUGCAGGUCAUCAGAGCAGUGCUGGUGUCUCCUGUCCAUAUCAGACACAGUGUUGUCCACCUGGUUUAAAUCUCUGUCUGUUUGUCUCCUCUCUUCUCUGCAGGUCAUCAGAGCAGUGCUGGUGUCUCCUGUCCAUAUCAGACACAGUGUUGUCCACCUGGUUUAAAUCUCUGUCAGAUGCAUUGUGUAUUCUAUUUCCUGUCAGUGAUGUUAUCCAGGUGGAGUAUUCUAUAUCCUGUCAGUGAUGUUAUCCAGGUAGAGUAUUCUAUAUCCUGUCAGUGAUGUUGUAUUCUAUAUCCUGUCAGUGAUGUUAUCCAGGUAGAGUAUUCUAUAUCCUGUCAGUGAUGUUGUCCAGGUAGAGUAUUCUAUUUCCUGUCAGUGAUAUUGUAUUCUAUAUCCUGUCAGUGAUGUUGUCCAGGUAGAGUAUUCUAUUUCCUGUCAGUGAUAUUGUAUUCUAUAUCCUGUCAGUGAUGUUGUCCAGGUAGAGUAUUCUAUAUCCUGUCAGGGAUGUUAUCCAGGUAGAGUAUUCUAUAUCCUGUCAGUGAUGUUGUAUUCUAUAUCCUGUCAGUGAUGUUAUCCAGGUAGAGUAUUCUAUAUCCUGUCAGUGAUGUUGUCCAGGUAGAGUAUUCUAUUUCCUGUCAGUGAUGUUGUAUUCUAUUUCCUGUCAGUGAUGUUGUCCAGGUAGAGUAUUCUAUUUCCUGUCAGUGAUGUUAUCCAGGUAGAGUAUUCUAUAUCCUGUCAGUGAUGUUAUCCAGGUAGAGUAUUCUAUAUCCUGUCAGGGAUGUUGUCCAGGUAGAGUAUUCUAUAUCCUGUCAGUGAUGUUAUCCAGGUAGAGUAUUCUAUAUCCUGUCAGUGAUGUUAUCCAGGUAGAGUAUUCUAUAUCCUGUCAGUGAUGUUAUCCAGGUAGAGUAUUCUAUAUCCUGUCAGUGAUGUUAUCCAGGUAGAGUAUUCUAUAUCCUGUCAGGGAUGUUGUCCAGGUAGAGUAUUCUAUAUCCUGUCAGUGAUGUUGUCCAGGUAGAGUAUUCUAUAUCCUGUCAGGGAUGUUGUAUUCUAUAUCCUGUCAGUGAUGUUGUCCAGGUAGAGUAUUCUAUAUCCUGUCAGUGAUGUUGUCCCUAAUGGAAAGGCAUGUCAGAGCCCUGUCCUCCAGUGAGUCAUGUUUUCUCAUCUUUUCCAUUGUGAAUUUCAUCCGUUUCUCCUCUCAGAGGUAAAAGACAGUGAUGGUGUUUUCUAUCCGAUGCUUGUUAGCUGAGGAGGUCUCCAGCGGUCGGAGGAUGGUAUACCGCGGGGUGUUUCAGGAAGCGUCAUACAGCAAAGGACUGCUCAUCUUUC
rnacentral:lncRNA from 1 species